GAUGAACGCUGGCGGCGUGCUUAACACAUGCAAGUCGAGCGAAGCACUUUUGCGGAUUUCUUCGGAUUGAAGCAACUGUGACUGAGCGGCGGACGGGUGAGUAACGCGUGGGUAACCUGCCUCAUACAGAGGGAUAACAGUUGGAAACGGCUGCUAAUACCGCAUAAGCGCACAGUACCGCAUGGUACGGUGUGAAAAACUCCGGUGGUAUGAGAUGGACCCGCGUCUGAUUAGGUAGUUGGUGGGGUAACGGCCUACCAAGCCGACGAUCAGUAGCCGACCUGAGAGGGUGACCGGCCACAUUGGGACUGAGACACGGCCCAAACUCCUACGGGAGGCAGCAGUGGGGAAUAUUGCACAAUGGGGGAAACCCUGAUGCAGCGACGCCGCGUGAGCGAUGAAGUAUUUCGGUAUGUAAAGCUCUAUCAGCAGGGAAGAAAAUGACGGUACCUGACUAAGAAGCCCCGGCUAACUACGUGCCAGCAGCCGCGGUAAUACGUAGGGGGCAAGCGUUAUCCGGAUUUACUGGGUGUAAAGGGAGCGUAGACGGCAUGGCAAGCCAGAUGUGAAAGCCCGGGGCUCAACCCCGGGACUGCAUUUGGAACUGUCAGGCUAGAGUGUCGGAGAGGAAAGCGGAAUUCCUAGUGUAGCGGUGAAAUGCGUAGAUAUUAGGAGGAACACCAGUGGCGAAGGC
rnacentral:rRNA from 1 species